rnacentral:rRNA from 1 species
AUGAACGCUGGCGGCGUGCCUCAUACAUGCCAGUCGAGCGAACAGACGAGGAGCUUGCUCCUCUGACGUUAGCGGCGGACGGGUGAGUAACACGUGGAUAACCUACCUAUAAGACUGGGAUAACUUCGGGAAACCGGAGCUAAUACCGGAUAAUAUAUUGAACCGCGUGGUUCAAUAGUGAAAGACGGUUUUGCUGUCACUUAUAGAUGGAUCCGCGCCGCAUUAGCUAGUUGGUAAGGUAACGGCUUACCAAGGCGACGAUGCGUAGCCGACCUGAGAGGGUGAUCGGCCACACUGGAACUGAGACACGGUCCAGACUCCUACGGGAGGCAGCAGUAGGGAAUCUUCCGCAAUGGGCGAAAGCCUGACGGAGCAACGCCGCGUGAGUGAUGAAGGUCUUCGGAUCGUAAAACUCUGUUAUUAGGGAAGAACAAAUGUGUAAGUAACUAUGCACGUCUUGACGGUACCUAAUCAGAAAGCCACGGCUAACUACGUG